UCCCCGUUACCGGGGCAGUCUGAUUAGAAAAAUCCAACUAAUCAUAAGGGUUGCGCUCGUUGAAGGACUUAACCUAACAUCUCACGACACGAGCUGACGACGGCCAUGCAGCACCUGUCACUGUGUUCCCGAAGGCACACUCUGCUUUCGCAGAACUUCACAGGAUGUCAAGCCCUGGUAAGGUUCUUCGCUUACCAUCGAAUUAAAGAACAUCAUCCGCUGCUUGUGCGGGUCCCCGUCAAUUCCUUUGAGUUUUAAUCUUGCGACCGUACUCCCCAGGCGGGAUGCUUAACGCGUUAGCUUCGCUACUGAACGGGUCGAUACGUCCAACAGCUAGCAUCCAUAGUUUACGGCGUGGACUAC
rnacentral:misc_RNA from 1 species